AGUCAAUAGAUACCCGGUAGUCCACGCCGUAAACGAUGCAUGCUAGCUGUUACCAGUAUCGACCCUGGUAGUAGCGAAAGCUAACGCGUUAAGCAUGCCGCCUGGGGAGUACGGUCGCAAGAUUAAAACUCAAAGGAAUUGACGGGGACCCGCACAAGCGGUNGGAGCGUUGUUGUUUAAUUCGAUGGUAAGCGAAGAACCGUUACCAGGGCUUGACAUCCUAGCAAAGGUACUUCGAAAGAAGACUGUUGCCUUUUGGAAUGCAGUGACAGGUGUUGCAUGGCCGUCGUCAGCUCGUGUCGUGAGUAUG
rnacentral:rRNA from 1 species